rnacentral:rRNA from 1 species
UACAGAGGGUGCAAGCGUUGUUCGGAAUUAUUGGGCGUAAAGGGAGUGUAGGCGGCUUGUUAAGUCUUCUGUGAAAUCUACGGGCUUAGCCUGUAACGUGCAGAGGAAACUGGCGAGCUUGAGUGUCGGAGAGGAUAGGGGAAUACCCAGUGUAGAGGUGAAAUUCGUAGAGAUUGGGUGGAACACCAGUGGCGAAGGCGCCUAUCUGGCUGACAACUGACGCUGAGACUCGAAAGCAUGGGGAGCAAACAGG